GUGGCCGAAGAAGAUUCAGAGCACGGCGAAGAUUUAAAAGAGGGAUGUUCUUUGCUGUAAAAAUACAUACACAUCGUGACAUGGUACUGUGACUAGUCUCCCGGGCCUGAGAGAGGCUCCUAACAACCUUAGGAACCUCAGUCCUACCACCACCAAGAACUAAAGCAAAAUCUUCCAAAAGGAAUAACAGAAUCACUUUUCUGAAGAUGCAUAGUUAAAC
rnacentral:lncRNA from 10 species